UUGAAAUUGUGCUUCACAAAUAGUAGUCAAACAAGACUACCAUUUACUCAGGCCAUGCUUUCAAUCCCACGCCUAUUGACUAAUGAUUGCUUCUUCAGGCAUGGAAAUCCCUGUGCUGACGGUGCUUGCAAAUAUUUUCAGCCAUGGAAUAUGUGAUGUAAGGUGCAGGGGAGUAUGCGUGUCCCCAUUGGCAGAGAUCCCUGCUUUUGAAAUUUUUCCGUUUAAAAUUCAGAUAUGUCGAGUUAAGUAAAAUUCAGUGGUGAAGAAAGUCUUACGAUGUACAAUUAUUUUAGUGUAAAUCUCCGUUGGAAAAAAAUCAGUUAGUAAAGAAGGAAUACAUCAUCCUUUUUGUUAUAACAAUGUUUAUGAUACUUUGUUGCAGAGAACAAAGGGGUUGUAAGAUAUAUGGCAUAACAUGAUAAAAAACAAUGAAAUCUUAGGUAAAGAGAUAUGCUUGCUGCUCCGGUAUCAAGUGAAGAUCUUGGUUCAAUAUGCUUGUCCAGCGCCUGAAGUAUUUGGAUGAACAGUAUGUCAAUGUCAACCUACAUGAUGAUGACUUUUUCUACGCCGAGCAUUGUGAUCAAGGUAUUUC